GAUGAACGCUGGCGGCGUGCUUAACACAUGCAAGUCGAACGAAGCACUUUAUUUGAUUUCCUUCGGGACUGAUUAUUUUGUGACUGAGUGGCGGACGGGUGAGUAACGCGUGGGUAACCUGCCUUGUACAGGGGGAUAACAGUUGGAAACGGCUGCUAAUACCGCAUAAGCGCACAGCAUCGCAUGAUGCAGUGUGAAAAACUCCGGUGGUAUAAGAUGGACCCGCGUUGGAUUAGCUAGUUGGUGAGGUAACGGCCCACCAAGGCGACGAUCCAUAGCCGACCUGAGAGGGUGACCGGCCACAUUGGGACUGAGACACGGCCCAAACUCCUACGGGAGGCAGCAGUGGGGAAUAUUGCACAAUGGGCGAAAGCCUGAUGCAGCGACGCCGCGUGAGCGAAGAAGUAUUUCGGUAUGUAAAGCUCUAUCAGCAGGGAAGAUAAUGACGGUACCUGACUAAGAAGCACCGGCUAAAUACGUGCCAGCAGCCGCGGUAAUACGUAUGGUGCAAGCGUUAUCCGGAUUUACUGGGUGUAAAGGGAGCGCAGGCGGUGCGGCAAGUCUGAUGUGAAAGCCCGGGGCUCAACCCCGGUACUGCAUUGGAAACUGUCGUACUAGAGUGUCGGAGGGGUAAGCGGAAUUCCUAGUGUAGCGGUGAAAUGCGUAGAUAUUAGGAGGAACACCAGUGGCGAAGGCGGCCUACUGGGCUUUAACUGACGCUGAGGCACGAAAGUGUGGGUAGCAAACAGGAUUAGAUACCCUGGUAGUCCACACUGUAAACGAUGAUUACUAGGUGUGGGGGGUCUAACCCCCUCCGUGCCGGAGUUAACACAAUAAGUAAUCCACCCUGGGGAGUACGACCGCAAGGUUGAAACUCAAAGGAAUUGACGGGGGCCCGCACAAGCAGUGGAGUAUGUGGUUUAAUUCGACGCAACGCGAAGAACCUUACCAGGUCUUGACAUCCAACUAACGAAGCAGAGAUGCAUUAGGUGCCCUUCGGGGAAAGAUGAGACAGGUGGUGCAUGGUUGUCGUCAGCUCGUGUCGUGAGAUGUUGGGUUAAGUCCCGCAACGAGCGCAACCCUUAUCUUUAGUAGCCAGCGGUUUGGCCGGGCACUCUAGAGAGACUGCCAGGGAUAACCUGGAGGAAGGCGGGGAGGACGUCAAAUCAUCAUGCCCCCUAUGACUUGGGCUACACACGUGCUACAAUGGCGUAAACAAAGGGAAGCAAAGCUGUGAAGCCGAGCAAAUCUCAAAAAUAACGUCUCAGUUCGGACUGUAGUCUGCAACCCGACUACACGAAGCUGGAAUCGCUAGUAAUCGCAGAUCAGAAUGCUGCGGUGAAUAAAAUCCCGGGUCUUGCACA
rnacentral:rRNA from 1 species